rnacentral:rRNA from 1 species
GGAUUCAUCCGUUGGUCGGGCUUCACGGUCCGUACUGGUGUGAUGGGUUCCUACCUUCUGAAUAACCGGCAUGCCAUUAAUUUGGUGUGAUGGGAAAUCAGGACUGUUACUUUGAAAAAAUUAGAGUGUUUAAAGCAGACUAUCGUCUGAAUACAUUAGCAUGGAAUAAUGAAAUAGGACGGACUGAUUCUAUUUCGUUGGUUUCUAGGAUCACCGUA